GAUGAACGCUAGCGGCAGGCUUAAUACAUGCAAGUCGAGGGGUAACAUGGUAGCAAUACUGAUGACGACCGGCAAACGGGUGCGGAACACGUACAGAACCUUCCUUUAAGCGGGGGAUAGCCCAUAGAAAUGUGGAUUAAUACCCAUAGUAAUAUUGACUGGCAUCAGUUGGUAUUUAAAGAUUUAUCACUUAAAGAUGGCUGUGCGGCUGAUUAGGUAGUUGGUGGGGUAACGGCCCACCAAGCCUUCGAUCAGUAACUGGUGUGAGAGCACGACCAGUCACACGGGCACUGAGACACGGGCCCCGACUCCUACGGGAGGCAGCAGUAAGGAAUAUUGGUCAAUGGACGCAAGUCUGAACCAGCCAUGCCGCGUGAAGGAU
rnacentral:rRNA from 1 species